AAGUGAAGGGCUCGCGGGCCGGGGGACUGUGGGCGGGUCCCCGCGAGGGCGCUCUCCAGAAGCGAAGGUGGCCGCCCGAGGCGCUCUCCCGGCCGGACCGAGUCGGCCCGCCGGCCCCGGCUGGAAAGUUUGAGCGGGAGCGGGCCUGGGGUGGCUCGGGGAAAGGAGCGCGCGGGACCCCGCGAUUGCAACUUUUUAAGAAUUACCAGCGCGGGCAGAACAAAGAGCUGCUUCAGCGAGGUGCGAGUAGAGGCUUGGCUGCGCUGGUUAUGUGUCACCGUGUGGUUAUCGCGUCCCAGGCAGGAGCCGUGAUUAGUGGACCAUGAGAGUCGUGACUGUCAUGUCCCCGUCCCGGGCCUGGCGUCCUGCAGCCCGAGGCGCACCUUCGUGUCUCGUCCUUACCCGGGGCGCCUGCCCGCUGCCACCGGCAGACAGGCGGUGGCACGGCCUGCGCAGCUGCCCUAACCCUUAAAAGCGGUGCUCGAGGAACAGCUCAAGUCCCAGCUUUGUUGUUGCAAGGAGUAUUUGGGUGAAAGGGCCUGCAAAGCAGGAAAAGGAACACCAGCUGCGGCUGCAUGCUUCUGCUUCCCACACUUUCACACAAAGAGUGGUCUCCGAGCCGGGCACCGUGACGAGCCUUUCAGUGCACAAAAGCCAACGACUCGGUGUUCCGGGUGUCAUCCGUGCUGGCUUGUGCACACAGACACAUCCGUGUCUGCUGCCGCGUUCCAUCGGCGUUUACUUCUGUAACAAAGAACCCUCCAGUCACAGGGCACAGAGCCACUCGGCUGCCCAGGGCUCUGCCCCGCCGUGUCGCAGCCAGAGACCCUCACUGGGCACAACACACACCAGGGCCUCUCUGUUUCUUGCUUGAUGACUUUCGAAGGAUAGGGAAACCCUGAGCAAUAUAAGUGAUAACUGUUCUUGAGAGGAAGUGAGAGCCCUGAAAAUAACCCUAAAGCAAGGCUCAAAUGUAGAAAAAAGUACAGGAGGCCCCAUUGUCAUGAACUCUGCAAAAACUAAGAAUUUCAAAACCUCAUUUUUAAAGCUAUUUACACUAUUUUGGAUCUUGUUUCUAGUGAAGUAACUCUGUGGAGCUUCUCGUUAUUAAAGAAAUUUUCACUUCAAUGCAGAAUAGCAUGAUAAUGAGAGAUUUCAACUACAAAAUUGUGUGAAUUCCUCGGUUCUAAAUCAGGUCAACUAUUGGCACCAGUUUGAGCUGAAGAAUGUGUAAAUUCUUGAUAACAUUUAUUCCUUUUAUACACAAUAAACAGCCCAGUGUGGUGGCACACACCUGUAACCAAGCAUUUGGGAGACUUAAGGCAGGCGGAUCACAACCAGUUUGAGGCCAUCCUGAGGUACAUAGAGUUCAAGGGCAGCCAAGACUGCAUAUUAGCAAGACCCAGUCUCAAACUAAAAAUAGGGCUGGGGAUUUAGCUCAGCAGGCAAAAGAGCCUGCCUUGCAAGCCCACAGUUGUGAGUUCGAUCCCAGGUAAUAAAACACAAUAACCAGGGUACUGCAGACAGCAUCUUUUCUAGAGCACUAUUUUUUAUCCCUGUUUUCUUGCAAAAUAACCUAUCACUUAGGGGAACCAUUGCCCACUUUGAUUUGUAAUUAAUAGUCAUUAAUGAAUAAUCAAUACUACUGCCUCUCCAUAAUGUAGCAUUACAUAUUAAGGAGCAUGCAAGGACAAAGUUUGAUGCCCAUAGAUACCCACUGGUCUUACCUGCUGGGUCAUAUUCCUGCUAGCUGAGAACUGUAUCUCUCAGUGCCAGAUGGAAAGUCCCAGGGGAAUAACAGUGGUAAAUAACAUUAUUGUUCCCAGUGUUUCACUGUUCCCUGCAUGUACACUUUGAAAUGUGGACUUGUAGUUCCUCUCAUUAGAAACAAUGUUUCUCCACCCUGUGGAUGUUUUGUUUAGAUCAUCCCAUCUGUUUUCAGUCAAAAGAAUGUGGGCACAAGUGACAAUGUGAUGAUUCUGAGCUUGGUCUCCAGAGAUACUGCAUGUUAAUGCCUGCCUCCCUAGCAGGCCUAUCUUUCACAAUGUUAAGAACAGGACUGUGUAGCCCACAUCCAAGAAGGAUGAGACAUAAGCAUAUGGAACAGGUCUUCCUCAACUUGGAGCUAGUGAACUGGUUUAAAAUGCCUCUGUUUGGGGGUGGUAAGCUUCCUAGAAUUAGUGUUUCAUUACUGAUAGCAAAUAAACUGCUCCCUUGUGGUUGGCCUUAAAGCUCUCCAUGAGCUCUACAGAGAUGUCUGUCAGACAGCUCUGUCACACUGGAUCUUAGACACAGUCCCUAUGGUAGCAGAUCAAGAAAGCUAGCCAGAAAGUUUGUAACAACGCAUUCUAAACAUUUCAGGGUCAAUAGGUGUGGCCAUAAAUCCCAAAAGCAAGCUAAUGAUAUAUGACUAAAUGUUGUGCCAGAUUACUUUUGCCUUUAUUUUUUAUAUCACAUAAUUUGUUUCCUAAUCAUUCAAUUAAGUCAUUAGUACAUUCAAGUGUGAAUGGGAUUGCCUCGUGUGUGUUAAGUAAAAUGCUUUUACACUUAUUUUCUCCAUUUCCUCUUUGUUCUUUCUAAUUAUAUAGGAAAGACUUUAAAAUUUUAGCCUGUCUUCACAAUAACAAGCUAACUAAACGGAGAGGUUUUCCUGCUUCCUAUCAGAAUGUUAAAUGGGUGGAGGACCCUCCUGGGCCCGAUAUAUGGGUGGAUGGCAGCGACAAUCAAAGGAAUACAGGAGAAAGUUCAGGUUUCAGAUUGGUGGCCAGUAAAUCCAUUCCUCUCCCAACCUGGAAGUUUGCUUUUUUAUGGGCUUUGGAGGCUGUGGUUGUAUUUGAUUAAAUGAGGGCGUAUUCCCCUGUAACAUUUAAAGCGAGUAGUCCAAGAGAACAAGGUGCAAACUGCACGCCUUCUAGCCUCAGACUCACACCAGGGUAUCUGCAAGUCACACAGAUCAGCCCUGAGUCAGUGGGGGUGGCUGCUGCUCUGACUCAAGGCCAUUAAUUAAUACCAGGAGAGGGGGAUAGCUGGCAAGCUGGCAGUCACGAGGCCAUUCGUACAGCAGUGAAUCUUCAGUGACUUACUAAAUUCAUGGAGUCCCUCACUGCAGGUUGCUGAUGUCUGUAGACUAGGAGAACAGCCAAAGAAGCCUUCUUUGGCCUUUGCUUAAAAAACAAAUAGUUCUAGGCAAUGCUCCAAUUGUAUUCUGGUGCUGACCCACCUUGUUAGCAGACCCCUGUACAUCCACCUUGCCCUUCACUCUUUCUGGACUCCACAAAGAAAACUAUUCUAGCUUACCUCAUGCUGUGUCUUCAAAAGAACCCAGUUCCCAAAUUCACAUUUUCUUGCCCUUUGUAAAUGACAGUCAUGUGUGGUAUACAGUAUGAGUUAUACCAGACCUGCCCUAGAGAAUCACCAAAACCAAAUUAAUUAGGAGGGUAGAUACUGUUUCCAGAGUCCAAUGAAACACUUUCUGAGAAUGAAAUUUCUUCCACCAAAUGUAGUCAUGUAAAAUAAACAUAUAACGUAUAGUUUUCAGCCAGGCAUGGUGGAGCAAACCUAUAAUCCCAGCACUCAGGAGGCUGAGGCAGGAAGAUUGACAUGAGUUCAAGUUGCAAGCAGAUUUUAUUUUGUUAUAAAAUUAAAGGUCAGGACCAGGGAUGUAAUUCAAUCAUACAGCACCUGCCUGACAAGUGCAAGACCCUGGAUUCAAUUCCUAGUACCAAAAAAAUUAUUUAUUUUAAUUUAACUUAUUUCAAAAUAUAUGAAAAUAUUUUAGAUCACAUUACUCUUUAAAGUUUCUUGAUAAAUUCAGGAUAAAUUCCAUAUAAACAAAACCAAAAAGUCAUUACCUUCUGUGGGAAAAUACUUAACUUGCAUGCUUGUUAGCUGGACAGUUUUUUGGUUUUGGUUUUGUUUUUUUGUCUUUUUGAGACAAGGUCUUGCUGUGCAGUUCAGGCUGGCCUUGAGCUCACUUUGUAACCAGGCUGGUCUCAAACUCACAAGGAUCCUCCUGCCUCAGCCUCCCGAGUGCUGGGAUUACAGGCAUGAGCCACGCAACUCUAGCUAGACAGUUUUUAAGAGCAUCCAACCCUGCUGCAGGCUGCUAAGUUAAAUUUACUCCCCAAAUCAGUCUAAAGAUGAGAAAAGCAAACCAAUGCCUAGUUCCCAGAAAUUUAUAGCUACAUACAGUAUUUUGUGUUACUUUGAUAAUACCAAUAAUACUGGUCAGUGCUAAGUGUUUUCUGCUUACUCAUGAACUCAAUAUGAUCUGCAUUUUUACACUUGAAUGCUAAAGCUAAGGAGAUGAAGUCACUUAUUCACAGUCAGACAGACAGUAAGCAGCAGAUUAGCUAUUGAACCUUCUCUGGAGCUUUUUGGUUCGUUUGGUCUUUUGAGACAGGGUCUCACUAUGAAGCCCACACUGGCCUUGAACUUGUAGCUGUCCUCCCACCUCACCCUCAUGAGUGUUGGACUUAGAAGCAUAUACCACCUUGCCCAGUUUUGAGGCCUGUUCUCAACCAUCAAAAAUGAAAAAAUCAUGUUCUGUGCCUCAGUCUUGAUACCAGCUGUAUGUUGCAUUCUCUACUUCAUAGAACACUGGUGUCACCUUGCAGUUGAGCUCACCCUGCCAGGACUGCCUGUUCUGCCCAGGUGCUCCCCAGGAAGCCCCAGCAUUUCUGGCCACCUGCUCACCCGACACUCCCUGCAGCGCUAGGUGCCAAAAAAUUCCUUGUGGAAAACCCAUGGCCUCUGUGCCGCACCCCUUCCUGUGUACUGAAGUGUGGAGCACAGACUGCACGUCCACUUGGGACACUGAUGCACAUUGGGAGAGGUCAGGCCCAGGAACUGGCAGGAUGGAGCCUUAAGGGGCUCACAGAAGCCGCAUGAUGACAGUGUGAAAACUCAGAAGAUCAUGGACUAAUGGGAAGAGAAGGUCUGGUGAUUCACUCCCCGGAACUCCGGGAUCCCCGCGCCGUCUCCCGCUCUCUCACUCCCUCCAAAAGCCACCUCCUUCAGAAGUCUUUCGGAUUUCCCAACACCUCCCAAACCCCGAAUUAAAUGUGAUUUUUGCCGUC